rnacentral:sRNA from 1 species
GGAAAUUGCAGCGAGCAACUGGAGAAAUCAAAGAAGCUUAUUUCCAGCGAUGAAUUUGCGGAUGCAUAUCAUAAGACCAUAAUCAACAUCUUAGCCAAAGGGAAUGGGCCUCAUUUUCGUCUCCUAACAUUAGGAUAUAGCCCGUUCUUCGACGAAGCCCUUUCUGAUGACUGCAAUAACAGAUCCUUCGGAUUUUGGAAAAUGUGGCAGCCGAAGCUUACGGUGAACUUACGCCAACAGCUAAAUGAAAUCUCCCUCGAACUGAACAACAAGAUUGUUCAUCUCAUCAAGGACUUAGAUGAUGAGC